rnacentral:rRNA from 1 species
AUGAACUUGUUCUUCCAUGUGUGUGGCAUUAAUCAUACGACGCGCUGCAGGGGCGGUCGCCGGCGGAGGGCGGAGUGUCGGCAACAACCACCUCUGCCCCAUCCUGCUCCUCCUCAUCGCGUGACCGUCUCCUUGGCCGCCCUGCACCUCGACGUCAAGCACUGCCCUCCCAUGAGAGAUCGGACGGACAAGGCGCUCCUGCCAUCUUCUUCCCCGUUGAUCCAGCUCCUGUUCCCCGCCGACAGUAGGAGACAUGAGGUCACCCCCGGCGCUGCUGGUGGCGUGAAGGCCGUCAAAUGGUAA